AACGCACAUUGCGCUUCCUGGUAUUCCGGGAAGCAUGCCUGUUUGAGUAUCAGUUUAACUCUCACCUAAAACUAGCUUAGUUAACUCUAGGUCUAGUCUUAAGUGGACUUGGGGGAUCUCUAAUUUUAUUAGAGUCGCCUUAAACUGAUUGUAAGCCGGAUUUAAUCCGAACUUGACGCGAUAAGUCUAACUUAAAUCGUCUAACUAAAGAUUAAAUCAGGUUUCCUAAUCAAAAUUCUAGAGGAAACUCUUGAUUCUUGAUCUCAAAUCAGGCAAGAUUACCCGCUGAACUUAA
rnacentral:misc_RNA from 1 species